AUCCAAGCAACGAUUAGAGAUCAACUUAUAUCAAAUUUUACUGUGUCUCUAAAUGAAGGGGAUCUGUAUUUGAUGACCCAUUUUACAGUUGUACCAAACACUGGUUUGAACAGAGUGACCAAACAUCAGUUCAGACUUUUGUUCCAAUAAAAGACCUCUGUUGUUUCUGUGGUAUCUCCAAGGAUACCUCAUUCGGGUUUGUGUUUUACGUCAAUAGAUGAAAUUGAUCAAAUGACAAAGGACCACAAUUUUCUCAUUGACUUUGUUGGGAUCAUUACUGGUGUUCGAAAAGAAAGAGAUGUAGCAUCAUAUGGGAAGCUGAUCAAAGCAGUUGUGCUAGAAGUUUUUACUGAUGG